GAUGAACGCUGGCGGCGUGCCUAAUACAUGCAAGUCGAGCGAAUGGAUUAAGAGCUUGCUCUUAUGAAGUUAGCGGCGGACGGGUGAGUAACACGUGGGUAACCUGCCCAUAAGACUGGGAUAACUCCGGGAAACCGGGGCUAAUACCGGAUAACAUUUUGAACCGCAUGGUUCGAAAUUGAAAGGCGGCUUCGGCUGUCACUUAUGGAUGGACCCGCGUCGCAUUAGCUAGUUGGUGAGGUAACGGCUCACCAGGGCAACGAUGCGUAGCCGACCUGAGAGGGCGAUCGGCCACACUGGGACUGGGACACGGCCCAGACUCCUACGGGAGGCAGCAGUAGGGAAUCUUCCGCAAUGGACGAAAGUCUGACGGAGCAACGCCGCGUGAGUGAUGAAGGCUUUCGGGUCGUAAAACUCUGUUGUUAGGGAAGAACAAGUGCUAGUUGAAUAAGCUGGCACCUUGACGGUACCUAACCAGAAAGCCACGGCUAACUACGUGCCAGCCGCCGCAGUAA
rnacentral:rRNA from 1 species